rnacentral:tRNA from 1 species
CCAUAAAGGAUGACAUAUCCCCAGAGAAUAGUUUAGUUCAGAAUUCUGGCUUUGGGAGCCAGGGGUGAGA